CAGAAAUUAGUUUAUUUUAUUAAAACAUUAAAUUUGGGGUUUAAAGAAAAAAAUUUCUGA
rnacentral:tRNA from 1 species